AGAGUUUGAUCAUGGCUCAGGACGAACGCUUGCGGCGUGCCUAAGACAUGCAAGUCGAACGGAUGUAGCAAUACAUUAGUGGCGAACGGUCGCGUAACACGUAAGAAACCUGCCCGGAAGUGGGGGACAACAGCCUGAAAGGGCUGCUAAUACCGCAUGGUGACAAAGUAUCGCAUGGUGCUUUGUCUAAAGCCUUGUGCGCUUUCGGAUGGUCUUGCGGCCUAUCAGGUAGUUGGUGAGGUAAUGGCUCACCAAGCCGACGACGGGUAGCUGGUCUGAGAGGACGAUCAGCCGGAUUGGGACUGAGAUACGGCCCAGACUCCUACGGGGGGCAGCAAUUAGGAAUCUUGCACAAUGGGGGAAACCCUGAUGCAGCGACGCCGCGUGAGGGAUGACGGUCUUCGGAUUGUAAACCUCUUUUUCCGGGGAAGAAACAAAUGACGGUACCCGGUGAAUAAGCCCCGGCUAACUACGUGCCAGCCGCCGCGGUAAUUC
rnacentral:rRNA from 1 species